rnacentral:misc_RNA from 1 species
UUGAUUUAUUUCAAGAUUUACUCAGAAUUCCACAUUAAAAACAAGAGUUUAGGGGUCUUCGGCGGCGCCAGGCCGGAGCCGUUUGCACGCCGAAGCAACAAAGGUAUGUUCACGAUGGGUUGUGAGUUGUAAACUCUGUAAUGAUCCCUCCGCUGGUUCACCAACGGAGA